rnacentral:rRNA from 1 species
ACGGGUGAGUAACACGUGAGUAACCUGCCCUUGACUCUGGGAUAAGCGCUGGAAACGGCGUCUAAUACCGGAUAUGACAACCGACGGCAUCGUCUGGUUGUGGAAAGAAUUUUGGUCAAGGAUGGACUCGCGGCCUAUCAGCUUGUUGGUGAGGUAAUGGCUCACCAAGGCGACGACGGGUAGCCGGCCUGAGAGGGUGACCGGCCACACUGGGACUGAGACACGGCCCAGACUCCUACGGGAGGCAGCAGUGGGGAAUAUUGCACAAUGGGCGAAAGCCUGAUGCAGCAACGCCGCGUGAGGGACGACGGCCUUCGGGUUGUAAACCUCUUUUAGCAGGGAAGAAGCGAAAGUGACGGUACCUGCAGAAAAAGCACCGGCUAACUACGUGCCAGCAGCCGCGGUAAUACGUAGGGUGCAAGCGUUGUCCGGAAUUAUUGGGCGUAAAGAGCUCGUAGGCGGUUUGUCGCGUCUGCUGUGAAAUCCCGAGGCUCAACCUCGGGUCUGCAGUGGGUACGGGCAGACUAGAGUGCGGUAGGGGGAGAUUGGAAUUCCUGGUGUAGCGGUGGAAUGCGCAGA